CUUUGGGUUGUGGAAAUUUAGCGCCGACCCGGGUAGUGUAAUACGGGGCACCCUCCCCUUUCUUCGGGGAAAAAUUUUGGAAAAGGGUUUAUAAUACCCAAUGUGCUUCUCUGGUCAUUGUCUGCGCGGGGAAAAGUUUUUCGGCAGGGGAUGGCUCGCGGCCUCCCAUUUGUUGGUGGUGAGACCGCCUCCCAAUGCGUCACGGAUCCCUCCCCGAGAGUGUUUCGCCACUCUAGUACAGAGAUACCCCACACACUCCUACGGGAGACAACAGUGGGAUAUAUUACAAAAUGGGCGCAACCCUGACGCCGCGACGCCGCGUGGGAGAUAGAGGCUUUCGUGUUGUAAACCCCUUUCCGCGCGACAAACUCUCCUUGUGGCGGUGUUGAGGGUGCGCCAAAAAGAAGCGCCGGCUAACUGCGUGCAGAAAGCCGCUGUAAUACAUAGCGCGAGAGUUUUGUCCACAAUUUUGGCGUAAAAAGCUCUCGUAGGCCUCGUCGCGUCUCCGCUGAAAACACGCGGCUCUACUCUCCGCGUGCAGUGGGGACACGGGCACUCUAAUGCGGCAAGGGGGGCUGGAAUUCCUGGGGUAGCGCUGGAGAGUGCAGAUAUCACAGGGAGCACCGAGAGCGAGAACGCAGGCCUGUGGGGUGUCUCACGCUGAAGGAGAAAAAGCGUGGAGAGAACAGGAG
rnacentral:rRNA from 1 species